rnacentral:tRNA from 1 species
UGGGGUGUAGUUCAGUGGGUAGAGCACUUUCCCGGCAUGCACAAGGCCCUGGGUUCAAACCCCAGCACCACAA